GAGUUACUGGGUAACAUGGUGUUGGCCCCACUGCCAGAUCAGGACCCCCAAGCCUGGCUGUAGCCCCUGAGCCCUGCCCUUAGCCCCUGCAGAGCCCCAGCCUGGACAAUCCCACUCCCUUCCCAAACCUGGAGCCCUCUGAGAACCCACUGAAGCGGCUACUGGUGCUGGGGGAAGAGUGGGAGUUCGAGGUGACAGCCUUCUAAUGGGGCCGCCAAGUCUUCCAGCAGACCAUCUCCUGCCCGGAGGGCCUGCGGCUGGUGGGGUCCGAAGUGGGAGACAGGACGCUGCCUGGACGGCCAAUCACACUGCCAGACCCUGGCAUAUCCCUGACAGACAGGGGAGUGAUGAGCUACGUGAGGAACGUGCUGAGCUCCCUGGGUGGGGGACUGCCUCUGCAGCGGGCUGGGCAGUGGCUCUGGGCCCAGCGGCCGGGGCACUGCCACACAUACUGGGCAGUGAGCAAGAAGCUGCUCAACAGCGGGCAUGGGCCUGACGGUGAGGUCCCCAAGGACAAGGAAGGAGGCGUGUUCGACCUGGGGCCCUUCAUUGUAGAUCUGAUCACCGACACGGAAGGAAGCGGACGCUCACCACACUAUGCACUCUGGUUCUGUGUGGGGGAGUCAUGGCCCCAGGACCAGCCGUGGACCAAGAGGCUCAUGAUGGUCAAGGUUGUGCCCACGUGCCUCAGGGCCUUGGCAGAAAUCGCCCAGGUAGGGGGUGCCUCCUCCCUGGAGAACACUGUGGACCUGCACAUUUCCAACAGCCACCCACUCUCCCUCACCUCUGACCAGUACAAGGCCUACCUGCAGGACCUGGUGGAGGAUAUGGAUUUCCAGGGCCCUGGGGAGACCUGAGCCCUCGCUCCUCAUGGUGUGGCCUCUAACCUCCCCACCCCCCACCACCUCAACCAAUAAACUGGUUCCUGCUAUGAUCAAAAAAAAAAAAAAAAAAAAAAAAAAAAA